rnacentral:rRNA from 1 species
GACGUAGGGCGCGAGCGUUGUCCGGAUUUAUUGGGCGUAAAGAGCUCGUAGGCGGCUUGUUGCGUCGACCGUGAAAACUUGGGGCUUAACCUUAAGCUUGCGGUUGAUACGGGCAGGCUAGAGUUCGGUAGGGGAGACUGGAAUUCCUGGUGUAGCGGUGGAAUGCGCAGAUAUCAGGAGGAACACCGAUGGCGAAGGCAGGUCACUGGGCCGCAACUGACGCUGAGGAGCGAAAGCAUGGGGAGCGAACAGG